AACGAACGCUGGCGGCAUGCCUAACACAUGCAAGUCGAACGAGACCUUCGGGUCUAGUGGCGCACGGGUGCGUAACGCGUGGGAAUCUGCCCUUGGGUUCGGAAUAACAGUUAGAAAUGACUGCUAAUACCGGAUGAUGACUUCGGUCCAAAGAUUUAUCGCCCAAGGAUGAGCCCGCGUAGGAUUAGCUAGUUGGUAGGGUAAAGGCCUACCAAGGCGACGAUCCUUAGCUGGUCUGAGAGGAUGAUCAGCCACACUGGGACUGAGACACGGCCCAGACUCCUACGGGAGGCAGCAGUGGGGAAUAUUGGACAAUGGGCGAAAGCCUGAUCCAGCAAUGCCGCGUGAGUGAUGAAGGCCCUAGGGUUGUAAAGCUCUUUUACCCGGGAUGAUAAUGACAGUACCGGGAGAAUAAGCCCCGGCUAACUCCGUGCCAGCAGCCGCGGUAAAAC
rnacentral:rRNA from 1 species